rnacentral:rRNA from 1 species
CCCAGACUCCUACGGGAGGCAGCAGUGGGGAAUAUUGCACAAUGGGGGGAACCCUGAUGCAGCGACGCCGCGUGGGUGAAGGAGCGUUUCGGCGCGUAAAGCCCUAUCGGCAGGGAAGAAGGAGGACGGUACCUGACUAAGAAGCCCCGGCUAACUACGUGCCAGCAGCCGCGGUAAUACGUAGGGGGCAAGCGUUAUCCGGAUUUACUGGGUGUAAAGGGGGCGCAGACGGCAGCGCAAGCCAGGAGUGAAAGCCCGGGGGCCAACCCCGGGACUGCUCUUGGAACUGCGAGGCUGGAGUGCAGGAGGGGCAGGCGGAAUUCCUGGUGUAGCGGUGAAAUGCGUAGAUAUCAGGAGGAACACCGGUGGCGAAGGCGGCCUGCUGGACUGCGACUGACGUUGAGGCCCGAAAGCGUGGGGAGCAAACAGGAUUAGAUACCCCAGUAGAA